AUGAGCUCCUCUCCCUCCCCUCUCCCCCCUCUCCCCUCCCCAGACUCCAGCAGUGACGUGGAGGCAGAGAACUCUUUUAGGAUGAAGGCGGCGGAGGGCAGAGAAUCGGGACUGAGGAACUGGGGCAACGUACCUGCACCCUUCCAGAGGAAGAAACGUGAGGAAAACCGAAUUAAGGGCUGCCUCCCGAGCCCCCUCACCAGCGACAGCGACUCGGACGCCGACCGGCCCCAGCCUGACGUCGUCGCAGACGACCUGGCCAGUCGACGGUUCCGCUCCCCUUCACCAUCCACGCCCACAAAUUUUGCGGUACCCAUGAGCCCGCAGGGCACAUUGAGGCUGUGGACAGGAAGCCCUCGCCUGUUUAGGAUUGACUCCCCUCCCAGACACUCCGCAGUGUUCUCUCCCAGCAGCAGUACUGCAGCGUCUCCGUUCCCUCCCAACCCGUUCCACGACCCCCCGUCUUCCAUCACCCUCUUCUCCGAGGUGGAGCGCUCCAUCGACGAGGAACUCCUCCUGAUGGAGCUGUGUGAGGAAGACUCUGAGGAGGGGCGAGAGGAUCCUGACCCUGUCAAAGAUGAUCUGUACGCUCGGCGGUUGGAACUGGCCCUCCACCAGACGAACUCCAACCCUGGCUACAACCGCUUCCUGCCCCGCUAUUGGACUCCCGAGGAGGAGGUGCACGUCAGGACCAUCAGGCUGGGCUCUCAGAGGAGACCCUGGUACCACAAGAUGUACAGAUUGAGCCGAAAGACAACAGGUUCCUCAGGAUGAUUCAGGCUGUGACAUCACUCCUUGGCUCGUUGUUCCUGUCUUGUCUGCACCCCCUCCCUCCAGCCACCCCCAUCCCGAAUUUACCUUCACCCCUGUAUCCCAGUUUGAGUGCUUUGUGCAACCGAAAAUGAACUAUUUCCGAAGGAGUAGAUUUUAAACUAGGCUUGUGUGGUAUCCAGAUUGUCAUGUCUUCAUACCGACCUUGAUCCAUCCUGAGAUAUUCAGUAAUACCGGCACUGAACACAAGGGCUGCCAUUUUUAAACUCCACUGAGCCUCUGUAAUCCGAAGGUUAGCAAUGCUAACAACUACAUGUAAAAUCCCAUAGAGAAUGCUAACGGACGCAUUGCAAAAAUGUGUAUUGUCUCAGACUUAAUCGAUUUGCUGGACAGACAUCCCAACUAUUGAAGUUCUACAAGUAAUUUAAAAAAAAUGCUUCUCACUUUGCUGCACGCACAAAGCAAAUAUUAGACUGCAAGGAUCUUGAUCCAGGAGGGGAUUUUCUGUUAUCACGCAAAGCUUGAUUUUGGAAGAAGCUAACCACUUAGCUAGGUAGCUAACUAGCUACUAAAUUAGCUAACCACUUAGCCAGGUAGCUAACUAGCUACUAAAUUAGCUAACCACUUAGCUAGGCAGGUAGCUAACUAGCUAUUAAAUUAGCUAACCACUUAGCUAGGUAGGUAGCUAACUAGCUAUUAAAUUAGCUAACCACUUAGCUAGUUAGCUACCUACCUAGCUAUUAAAUUAGCUAACCACUUAGCUAGGCAGGUAGCUAACUAACUACUAAAUUUGCUAACCAGAGCAUUUAAUACAUUUUAGACGUUUAACUUUCUCUUAUUUUAAUUUGUUUUAUUUUUGACAGUAGUUACACAGCAAGAAUAAAGUAAUUAGAUAUGUUGAUAUACAGUACCAGUCAAAAGUUUGGACACCUACUCAUUCAAGGGUUUUUAUUUUAUUUCUACUAUUUGUUAUAUUGUAUAAUAAUAGUUACGACAAACAAUGAAAUAACACAUGGAAUCAUGUAGUAAGCAAAGUGGUAAACAAAUUAAAAUAUAUUUGUGAUUCUUCAAAGUAGCCACCCUUUGCCUUGACAGCUUUACACUCUUGGCAUUCUCUCAACCAGUUAUGGGGUAUUCACCUGGAAUGCAUUUCAAAUAACAGCUGUGCCUUAAGUUAAUUAGUGUAAUUUCUUUCCUUAAUACAUUUGAGCCAAUCAGUUGUGUUGUGACAAGGUUAGGGGUGGUAUACAGAAGAUGCCAAAUAGGGAUAAAAGACCAAGUCCAUAUUAUGACGAACAGCUCAAAUAAGCAAAGAGAAACAACAGUCCAUUACUUUAAGAUACGAAGGUCAGCCAAUACGGAACAUUUCAAGAACUUUGAACGUUUCUUUAAGUGCAGUUGCAAAAACCAUCAUGCUCUGUGAUGAAACUGGCUCUCAUGAGGUCCGCCACAGGAAAGGAAGUCCCAGAGCAACCUCUGCUGCAGAGGAGUUAACUACACCUCAGAUUGCAGCUCAAAUAAAUGCUUCACAGAGUUCAAGUAACAGACACAUCUCAACAUCAACUGUUCAGAGGAGACUGUGUGAAUCAGGCCUUCAUGGUUGAAUUGCUGUAAAGAAACCUCAACUAAAGGAAACCAAUAAGAAGAGACUUGCUUGGGGCCAAACCAAUAAGAAGAGACUUGCUUGGGGCCAAACCAAUAAGAAGAGACUUGCUUGGGGCCAAACCAAUAAGAAGAGACUUGCUUGGGGCCAAACCAAUAAGAAGAGACUUGCUUGGGCCAAAAGAACACGACCGGUGAAAAUCUGUCCCUUGAUCUGAGUCCAAAUUUGAUUGUUGUUCCAACCGCCAUGUCUCUGAGACACAGAGCAUUUGAACGGGUGAUCUCCGCAUGUGUGGUUCCCACCGUGAAGCAUGGAGGAGGUGGUGUGAUGGUGUGUGGUUCCCA
rnacentral:lncRNA from 13 species